AGGAGGGAUCAGCAAAACAUUGAGACACAGUGAAUGCCAUACUUUUUAAAGAUGAGAGAUCUUCCUCUAUAGUAUGAACACAAAAAAUCCUGUUGAUGCAAUACCUAAUAUAAUGCUGUGGUCAUUCUCUGAAGGGGUUGAGAUUCCAAAGAGCUCAAACAUUUAGAAAAUCUCAAAGCUCAAGCAUUUUUUUGGAGUUAUGUGUUGCAGAAUUUUUUUAUUCAGCCUGCUGGAAUGCUGAUGAAAAUCAGAAUAUGUAACUAUAAUUAAG